CUCCCACCUCAAGUCUCCCGCAGCUUCCCGGCGGCGGGCGUCGCUCUCAGCGAGAACAACUAGCUCCUGCCCUCGCCGCGGGUCUGCUUCUGGGGAGACAUCGCACAGGUUGGGGGGAGGUUUGGCUCCGCCUCUCAUCUGGGCCUUCCCCCGACACACCCAAAUGGAAGGGGACGUCGGUCAGUGAAUCAGCCGGCCCAAAGAGAGGUUUGGAGUUACAGACAAGGAGAACCGAUGGACCCGAGAAAGGUGGGCUCCAUGGCACUUGGCCAUCGGGACUACACCCAAACUCUCGGGGAGGAAGCGAAAUGAACCCUUCUGUACACGCUCGGGCCGCUGGAGGUUUGGGGACCCUGGUAAGGUGCGCCGGCCCCACAGGCCGCACUCUUCCGACCCUUGGCAUCUGAGAAGGAGCCUUCGGACCUGGACAGUCCAGAUGCACCCAACCUGCUCUGACAGCUGCAGAGCGAGAAGCACCUGAUGACGGGACUCAGGCACGUUUCACCUGAGCAUCCUGAUUGCACCGGCUCAGGCUCCCAGCCAACCAAAACAGUGGCACCUGUUGAUUGAGGUUGCGAUUUCUAUGGAAGCCUCUAACAAUUUAACCCCUCACUGUCCCCUGAGAAUUUUCAGACCUAGUUUGGGGCUCAUAAAUGCUAGGCCAUCCAUGAAAGAGUUUGGGGGGGUGGGAGUGGGGAGUCCAUGAACACGCUGAAAUUGUGUAGAAUAUUUUGGGUUUAUGUAUGUUUCUGGAGAAAGAGUAUAGAGUGUAUCAGAUUCCCGAGGGGAUCUAUCACCUCCCCCCAAACAUCAAGAAUGUUUUAAUAGUUUGGGAUGCUGGACCUCUCACCAGCCAGGCUUCUGAUUCUGAUUCCAUCUCCACCCAAUUGGCAUAUACCAAGUGUCCCAGAUGUAAAUCCGCUAAUGGUCAAUUAUAGGAAUGGUCUUAAAGUAAAAACAGAAGAAAACUAAAGGAUUGAGCAUUUGCAAGACAAAGAAUUAAUUUCAUGAAAAUUGAUUUCCUAAUGAAGAUGCGAUAAGCUCCAUCUUUACAAAAACAAAGUUGACAAACAGGUGUUUCUUUUUUUUAGGUUUCUCAAAUCCUAGCCACACUGCACAUGGCAUUGAACUAACAGAGAUAAAAGAACUGCUUAUACCCACCAUUAAGGAGAGAGAAUCAGUUUGUGCCAAAACCACCAUGUACAACUUUGUCUUAGUGCAUUUAUAUAAAAUAAAACACUUCCCUUAUAGUUAGGUCACCUAGCUCUGAAGAAUGCCAGGUGUGUGGGAGGUUAAUAUAAAUUAACUUUGACAAAUAAGGGUAGUGUAAACCCUUAAAAGAACUCCAUUUAUAAUCAGGAUUAUAUGUAAAUGUACAGCACUAAGAUUUAAAAGUUUAUUGUUACAAGGAUCUGUUUACUUGGGUCAAGCUGUCUUGUCACCCUUGAUGUACUGAGCUGUGUUCAUCUGUUUAAGACAUGUAAAUAACAUAGGUUCCUUGCAUAAUAAUACUCAAACUAAUUAGGGCACUUCAGAUUUAA